UACAGAGGGUGCGAGCGUUAAUCGGAAUUACUGGGCGUAAAGCGUGCGUAGACGGUUAUUUAAGUCAGAUGUGAAAGCCCCGGGCUCAACCUGGGAAUUGCAUUUGAGACUGAAUAGCUAGGGUACGGUAGAGGGAAGCGGAAUUUCCGGUGUAGCGGUGAAAUGCGUAGAUAUCGGAAGGAACAUCAGUGGCGAAAGCGGCUUCCUGGACCAGUACCGACGUUCAGGCACGAAAGCGUGGGGAGCAAACGGG
rnacentral:rRNA from 1 species